AUGAACGCUAGCGACAGGCUUAACACAUGCAAGUCGAGGGGCAGCGGGGGUAGCGAUACCCGCCGGCGACCGGCGCACGGGUGAGUAACGCGUAUGCAACUUGCCUAUCAGAGGGGGAUAACCCGGCGAAAGUCGGGCUAAUACCGCAUGAAGCAGGGGCCCCGCAUGGGGAUAUUUGCUAAAGAUUCAUCGCUGAUAGAUAGGCAUGCGUUCCAUUAGGCAGUUGGCGGGGUAACGGCCCACCAAACCGACGAUGGAUAGGGGUUCUGAGAGGAAGGUCCCCCACAUUGGUACUGAGACACGGACCAAACUCCUACGGGAGGCAGCAGUGAGGAAUAUUGGUCAAUGGGCGUAAGCCUGAACCAGCCAAGUCGCGUGAGGGAUGAAGGUUCUAUGGAUCGUAAACCUCUUUUAUAAGGGAAUAAAGUGCGGGACGUGUCCCGUUUUGUAUGUACCUUAUGAAUAAGGAUCGGCUAACUCCGUGCCAGCAGCCGCGGUAAUACGGAGGAUCCGAGCGUUAUCCGGAUUUAUUGGGUUUAAAGGGUGCGUAGGCGGCCUUUUAAGUCAGCGGUGAAAGUCUGUGGCUCAACCAUAGAAUUGCCGUUGAAACUGGGGGGCUUGAGUAUGUUUGAGGCAGGCGGAAUGCGUGGUGUAGCGGUGAAAUGCAUAGAUAUCACGCAGAACCCCGAUUGCGAAGGCAGCCUGCCAAGCCAUUACUGACGCUGAUGCACGAAAGCGUGGGGAUCAAACAGGAUUAGAUACCCUGGUAGUCCACGCAGUAAACGAUGAUCACUAGCUGUUUGCGAUACACUGUAAGCGGCACAGCGAAAGCGUUAAGUGAUCCACCUGGGGAGUACGCCGGCAACGGUGAAACUCAAAGGAAUUGACGGGGGCCCGCACAAGCGGAGGAACAUGUGGUUUAAUUCGAUGAUACGCGAGGAACCUUACCCGGGUUUGAACGCAUUCGGACCGAGGUGGAAACACCUUUUCUAGCAAUAGCCGUUUGCGAGGUGCUGCAUGGUUGUCGUCAGCUCGUGCCGUGAGGUGUCGGCUUAAGUGCCAUAACGAGCGCAACCCUUGCCACUAGUUACUAACAGGUAAAGCUGAGGACUCUGGUGGGACUGCCAGCGUAAGCUGCGAGGAAGGCGGGGAUGACGUCAAAUCAGCACGGCCCUUACAUCCGGGGCGACACACGUGUUACAAUGGCGUGGACAAAGGGAAGCCACCUGGCGACAGGGAGCGAAUCCCCAAACCACGUCUCAGUUCGGAUCGGAGUCUGCAACCCGACUCCGUGAAGCUGGAUUCGCUAGUAAUCGCGCAUCAGCCAUGGCGCGGUGAAUACGUUCCCGGGCCUUGUACACACCGCCCGUCAAGCCAUGAAAGCCGGGGGCACCUGAAGUACGUAACCGCAAGGAGCGUCCUAGGGUAAAACUGGUAAUUGGGGCU
rnacentral:rRNA from 1 species